CGAUAUUUUAAGCUUCAUUAAUGCAUUUUGCAUUCUGAGACACUUACAAAUAUAUUUACAUCAAUAAGCAGGAGUGAGAAAAGUUGCUGCAUGGCAACAAAAAAUUCAAAGGCGUUCCUUUUCCCUUUAGUUGCGUGACGCCAGAGGAAGGAAGGCAACAUGGCGCUUGCUGCAGCUCGCCAAACACAAAUAAACGCGAUUCGUUUAUUCUUCAAACUGGAGAAAACUUUCUUAUUUCUAAUUCUUCGUGAUGCAGUCUAGAGAGAAUUGCAAUCAGUUCUGUUGGGGUAUAUGAAAGGGCGGAUGAAUUGAGCAGCAGUUUGCAGCUGAAUAAAGUUUUCUACAAAAAUCCAAAAGAUGAAGCAGAUAACAAAAGUAUGUUCUGAGGAGUUUGGAAUCUUUUGCAUUCUCUUCAGGCAAAGAAUGAAGAUCCCGUGUGAAAACACAUAAUGCCACCAUGGAGAAGAAAGUAAAAUAUAACGUAAGAGAUAAUAAAACGUUCAAGAAUUUUUUAAUGCAUCAUCUUCUUUCAAACCUUAUGAUGGAAAAUUUAUUGAAGGCUUGAGAAUGGAAACAAUACAGGACAAUGUAGAUACAGUGGUGUUUAUGUGAAGAAGAUUCUUGAUAGUGUUAUCGUGGGGAUUAUUGUGUUUAAAUGAAGAAUCUUUGCAGCAGAGAUACAAGGACAAUGCUGCUUUCAGAGUGACGACCUUUCAAUCAGAUGACUUACAAAUAGUUGUUUCAGCGAAACAAAGAAGUGUAGGUAUGGACAUAAUUUCAAGCGAUGCAUAGCAAAAUUUGGCGUUUUGAGAAUUCCACGUGACCUUGACGCUCUGAAACUAGAUCCAGCGAUGUAUGUAGGCUGCAUUAGAAGAUAUUUCUUUGCUGCAGAAAGAAGGUUUGAUCUGCGGUGUAGGUGGCGCUGUGCAGCUGAUGAGGAUAAAUCAUGGUGGAGCAUGGAUUCAACCCAAGAACGGAAAUUUAAGUCCAUAUUUACACUUUGUAAAAUGUUCAGAAAAUGCUGUUAUUGUUAUUUAAUA